rnacentral:lncRNA from 1 species
GCCCUUCAAACUUUGCUAGAUGAAUUUAUCGAACUUAUUUAAUAUAUUAAAAAUAUAAUUAAUUUUUAUUCAAUAAAUUCAAUCAUAAAAAAAAAUUGUAAAUUGGGUGGUCUGUUCGAUAGGUUAUCCAGACAAUAGGACAAUUCAAUAUCUCCUAGUCAAGGAUCAGAUCUAAAUGACUCGAUCAAGAAAUCAUGAAGCAUGAAUUAGAAUCAAGGCCAAGAUCGAUCAACAGAUUCAUCAAUAGCAGAUUUC